UGUGGGAGCUGGCUUGCCUGCGAUGGCGGUGGCUCAGUUGGCAUCUCAUCCACAGGCAGACCGCUAUCGCAGGCAAGCCAGCUCCCACA
rnacentral:antisense_RNA from 1 species